rnacentral:rRNA from 1 species
UUACUGAGACACGUCCAGACUCCUACGGGAGGCAGCAGUAGGGAAUCUUCCACAAUGGACGAAAGUCUGAUGGAGCAACGCCGCGUGAGUGAAGAAGGGUUUCGGCUCGUAAAACUCUGUUGUUAAAGAAGAACAUAUCUGAGAGUAACUGUUCAGG